rnacentral:rRNA from 1 species
UAACUAUUGGAAACGAUAGCUAAUACCGCAUAAGAGUAGAUGUUGCAUGACAUUUGCUUAAAAGGUGCAAUUGCACCACUACCAGAUGGACCUGCGUUGUAUUAGCUAGUUGGUGGGGUAACGGGCUCACCAAGGCGACGAUACAUAGCCGACCUGAGAGGGUGAUCGGCCACACUGGGACUGAGACACGGCCCAG